rnacentral:misc_RNA from 1 species
AAAUAAAGGAGAUCAAUAUUUUCCAAAUACCUAAAUGAUGAUAUUUAUACAAAAUAAAUAUUCGCUAAAAUUUAUAUACUCCAUAAAAAUGAAGGCAUUGCAAGUUUGCAGACACCAUAUGAUACAGCAUCUGAUCGGAAACACUUAUUGCCAGCAUCAGAGGACAGGCUACAGGCACCGCGUGAAGCUUACAUUGGCCACAGUUCCACCAAGCAUAGCCUUCUUCACAUUUGAUUUAAACAACUGGGGAUUAUCUCUCAACACAGAAGCAGCCUCGAGAUUAAGGGGAUCCUCAUGGUUUGGUUCCUCGAAAAGAAGAUAUAAUCCAUAGAUAAUUG